rnacentral:rRNA from 1 species
AGUGUACGCUGGCGGUAGGCCUAACACAUGCAAGUCGAACGGCAGCACAGUAAGAGCUUGCUCUUACGGGUGGCGAGUGGCGGACGGGUGAGGAAUACAUCGGAAUCUACUUUUUCGUGGGGGAUAACGUAGGGAAACUUACGCUAAUACCGCAUACGACCUACGGGUGAAAGCAGGGGAUCUUCGGACCUUGCGCGAUUGAAUGAGCCGAUGUCGGAUUAGCUAGUUGGCGGGGUAAAGGCCCACCAAGGCGACGAUCCGUAGCUGGUCUGAGAGGAUGAUCGGCCACACUGGAACUGAGACACGGUCCAGACUCCUACGGGAGGCAGCAGUGGGGAAUAUUGGACAAUGGGCGCAAGCCUGAUCCAGCCAUACCGCGUGGGUGAAGAAGGCCUUCGGGUUGUAAAGCCCUUUUGUUGGGAAAGAAAAGCAGCAGGUUAAUACCCCGCUGUUCUGACGGUACCCAAAGAAUAAGCACCGGCUAACUUCGUG